UUUUUAGAUAUAGACUUAUCGGUGUGCUUUGACUUCUUUAUGCAGAGAACCUCUUAUUACCAACAUCAUGUGGAGAAACUUGCUGAUUCAGGCUAUCUAUCAAGUGAGUGUAUUGUUAACACUCAAUUUCCGA